rnacentral:lncRNA from 1 species
AACACGUGUUACUAUAUAUGGCCAGUGGUUGGCUAAAAAUAGAAUUGGACAUUCCCUUGCUAUCCAUCUUGCAUCAUAGCGAAGACUUGCGAUACAUACUAUCACAUUUGAUAAAAAAUGCGUUUUCAGUGAAUAUUUUAAUUAUUUUCACAAGGAAAAAUAAAUAUUGGAAAAAGUGAUUAAUUAUUAACUUCACAUUAAGAAUUAUGCUUCUGCCAGAAAAAGCAGAUUCUAUUGUGCUAUUUAUAGCAUACAUAUACCAUAUAAGAAUAUUUUCCUUUUUCACAAUAAACAUUUCUUUGACUUUCAAUUUCUCAUUUCUUUUUGGAUGUAUGCAAUCUGUAAUCACAUCAC